rnacentral:lncRNA from 1 species
UUUUUUUUUUUUUUUCUUUUUUAGAAGCAGGGUAGAUUUGCUGCCCAAGGCAAGGAAGAUCCUGAGUCUCAGAUGAGCUCAGGUUUUAAACACGAAGAAAGUAGAGCCAUUAGGUUAAAUGAACCUAGCUGGGCUUUGAUGGAUGUCAGAUGGGCUUCUGAGCAGCUGCUGAACCACUCAAACUAAGGAGAGGCUUGUACCAAUCAGAAGCAUCCUUUUGCUACAUUAGUCAGAAAUUAGCAAGCAAGGGAAAUGUAUUUAACUCCCCUACUCCCUACCUGCCUUUAUGAUUCCUGAUAAUGUACUGUCAAGUCGUGUGGCACUGACAAAACUAAAAUAAACAGCUGAUUCUUUUCCUAGCUUCUUUUAAUCAUUCCUUAGAACCUUAUAGAAAAGGAAACUACAGUUUAGAACAUCUGGGAACUUGCAGGAAAAAAAAAGUGUCCCCAUUUUAUUUUAUUUUAUUUUAUUUAUUUUUUUUGUCUUUUUUGUUGUUGUUGUUGUUGUUGCUAUUUCUUGGGCCGCUCCUACGGCAUAUGGCGAAGAUGAGCCAUUUACUUAUCUUCCUGAUAGGAGCGGAAGAUAGGUGAGGACUGUCUGGGAGACAGACAGUGAUGGGGACUCUUCUGUCUGGAUUUCAAAAAUGCCACUCUUUGAGAUGUUCUAUCUGACUUACUCACUGAUUGUAACAAACAUAUCAGCAAUUUGAAAUGGUUCCAAUAUGAUAAAUAGUCAGAUGGCAUUACAUCUUGACUUUAAAUGAACAAGUAAAGAGCAAAGACAAAAAAGCAAAACUCCAUUCAAAAGAGCACUUCUGUGAUCAAGAGUGCUAUGUAUACAGUAAAAGAACUUUAAAAAUGAGACUCAAAUAUUUAAAACUAUAAGGCUCGUUGGAGGUAUACAGAUUAAUCCUUUUUUCCCCCUCAGGUGAAGAUUCUGAAUCCAAAAAUGUGAAACCUUCACAAGAUGGUGCAGUUUGUUAAUAACUGAGCAGGAGUAGAGUCCACUCUUCAGAUCUGUGGGAAAGGAUACAUGUGUGAACCAGUAUGGGGAGAACAGAAAGAACUAUACAAAGUUGGACAAACUAGAAACAAGUAAAAUUUGAGUUUCUUAUUAGUGUCUGAGUCUAAACAUUCGUCUAGACUCUCAGGUACCAAAUAUAAACUAUGAAGUUCUUGGGUUUUCUCUACAUUCACUUUGCUGGCAAAUUCAAAUGACACAAUUUUUUCAUGACAGUUAAAUUUCUAUCUAUUUUUAUAUUCUUAUUUAGUUCUGGUUAAAAUCUGAACAUGCAUAUCUGCAAAAAAAAAAAAAAAAAAAAGAAGAAGAAGAAAAAAGAAAAAAGAAGGGUCAACAAACAACAUGGUAUCCAGCAUCCUUUUUUACUUGGAAUAAAUGUUUAUUUGAGGUUUGGAAGACUCUAGGGAUAUACUACAUGAAGCAGUACAGGCCACACAUACCAAUGUGGAAUAAAUUAACAUAUAGAGAGAUAUAUCCAAAUACCCACCACUUUUUAUACCUUGGACAUCACAUUGCUAGAUAUAGGUUAAAGUAUACAAUAUAAAGUAGAGCCUGGAAUCAGUAAGUAGCACUGAAGAGUUACUAGAUUUAAAUUCUUGGAGCCAUGGCCCUCUUUCAGGAGGAAUGAUAUCAAUAUCGUCAUGAAACCUUUUUUGAUUCC